GACGAACGCUGGCGGCGUGCCUAAUACAUGCAAGUCGAACGCACUGACAGAGAAACUUGUUUCUCUUGACGUGAGUGGCGCACGGGUGAGUAACACGUGGGAAACCUACCCUUCAGCGGGGGAUAACCGUCGGAAACGAUGGCUAAUACCGCAUAGGUCUUUUAACCGCCUGGCUGAAAGAGGAAAGACGGCUUCGGCUGUCACUGAAGGAUGGUCCCGCGGUGCAUUAGCUAGUUGGUAAGGUAACGGCUUACCAAGGCGAUGAUGCAUAGCCGACCUGAGAGGGUGAUCGGCCACAUUGGGACUGAGACACGGCCCAAACUCCUACGGGAGGCAGCAGUAGGGAAUCUUCCGCAAUGGACGAAAGUCUGACGGAGCAACGCCGCGUGUGUGAAGAAGGUCUUCGGAUCGUAAAAGCACUGUUAUUAGAGAAGAACACCCGGUAAAGUAACUGUUACCGGCUUGACGGUAUCUAACCAGAAAGCCAAGGCUAACUACGUGACA
rnacentral:rRNA from 1 species